rnacentral:rRNA from 1 species
AAGCGCUGAAAGCAUCUAAGCGUGAAGCCCCCCUCAAGAUGAGAUUUCCCAACACGUAAGACCCCUUGAAGACGACGAGGUAGAUAGGUUGGAGGUGGAAGUGCAGCAAUGCAUGGAGCUGACCAAUACUAAUCGGUCGAGGGCUUAUCCAA